CACGGGUGAGUAACACGUAUCCAACCUGCCGUCUACUCUUGGACAGCCUUCUGAAAGGAAGAUUAAUACAAGAUGGCAUCAUGAGUCCGCAUGUUCACAUGAUUAAAGGUAUUCCGGUAGACGAUGGGGAUGCGUUCCAUUAGAUAGUAGGCGGGAUAACGGCCCACCUAGUCUUCGAUGGAUAGGGGUUCUGAGAGGAAGGUCCCCCACAUUGGAACUGAGACACGGUCCAA
rnacentral:rRNA from 1 species